rnacentral:rRNA from 1 species
UACGGGGGGGGCAAGCGUUGUUCGGAAUUACUGGGCGUAAAGGGCGCGUAGGCGGGCCGGCCAGUCUGUGGUGAAAGCCCCCAGCUCAACUGGGGAAGUGCCGUGGAUACUGCCGGUCUGGAGGAGGGUAGGGGCAUCUGGAACGCUGGGUGGAGCGGUGAAAUGCGUUGAUAUCCAGCGGAACUCCGGUGGCGAAGGCGAGGUGCUGGACCCUUUCUGACGCUGAAGCGCGAAAGCCAGAGGAGCAAACGGG